UACGAAGGGUGCAAGCGUUACUCGGAAUUACUGGGCGUAAAGCGUGCGUAGGUGGUGAGUUAAGUCUGAUGUGAAAUCCCCGGGCUCAACCUGGGAAUGGCAUUGGAUACUGGCUCGCUAGAGUGCGGUAGAGGGUGGUGGAAUUCCCGGUGUAGCAGUGAAAUGCGUAGAGAUCGGGAGGAACAUCUGUGGCGAAGGCGGCCACCCGGACCAACACUGACACUGAGGCACGAAAGCGUGGGGAGCAAACAGG
rnacentral:rRNA from 1 species